CAGUCAAAAAGGAGCCGAGAGCGAAGGGUUUUCCUCGACGGUCGCCGCUCAGUUUGAGCCUCCAUAGCUGUCCGGCAACAUUUCGGGAAAAUACACGG
rnacentral:snoRNA from 1 species